AGAGUUUGAUCCUGGCUCAGAGUGAACGCUGGCGGCAGGCCUAACACAUGCAAGUCGAGCGGCAGCACAGGAAGAGCUUGCUCUUCCGGGUGGCGAGCGGCGGACGGGUGAGGAAUGCAUCGGAAUCUGCCCCGUCGUGGGGGAUAACGUAGGGAAACUUACGCUAAUACCGCAUGAUCUGGAGACAGCAAAGCGGGGGCCCAGCAAUGGCCUCGCGCGAUGGGAUGAGCCGAUGCCGGAUUAGCUUGUUGGUGGGGUAAAGGCCCACCAAGGCGACGAUCCGUAGCUGGUCUGAGAGGAUGAUCAGCCACACUGGGACUGAGACACGGCCCAGACUCCUACGGGAGGCAGCAGUGGGGAAUAUUGGACAAUGGGCGCAAGCCUGAUCCAGCCAUGCCGCGUGAGUGAAGAAGGCCUUCGGGUUGUAAAGCUCUUUUGUCCGGAAAGAAAGACCCUGGAUCAAUACCCUGGGGGAAUGACGGUACCGGAAGAAUAAGCACCGGCUAACUUCGUGCCAGCAGCCGCGGUAAUACGAAGGGUGCAAGCGUUACUCGGAAUUACUGGGCGUAAAGCGUGCGCAGGUGGUGAUUUAAGUCUGUCGUGAAAGCUGCGGGGCUCAACCUGGGGAAUGCNGAUGGAUACUGCGUCACUAGAGCUGCAGUAGAGGAUGGCGGAAUCCCCUGGGUAGCAGUGAACUGCGUAGAGAUCGCGAUGAACAUUCCGUGCGAAGGCUGGCAUCUGUACAGCACUGACCCUCAGGCACGAUGCGUGGGAUCCAACAUGAUAGCAUACCUGNAG
rnacentral:rRNA from 1 species